rnacentral:rRNA from 1 species
CAUGCCUAAUACAUGCAAGUCGAGCGAAUGAUGAAGAAGCUUGCUCUUCUGAUUUAGCGGCGGACGGGUGAGUAACACGUGGGCAACUACCCUAUAGAUUGGGAUAACACAGGGAAACCUGUGCUAAUACCGAAUAAUACAUUUUCUUUCAUGGGAAGAUGUUGAAAGAUGGUUUCGGCUAUCACUAUAGGAUGGGCCCGCGGCGCAUUAGCUAGUUGGUGAGGUAAUGGCUCACCAAGGCAACGAUGCGUAGCCGACCUGAGAGGGUGAUCGGCCACACUGGGACUGAGACACGGCCCAGACUCCUACGGGAGGCAGCAGUAGGGAAUCUUCCACAAUGGGCGAAAGCCUGAUGGAGCAAUGCCGCGUGAGUGAUGAAGGAUUUCGGUUCGUAAAACUCUGUUGUAAGGGAAGAACAAGUAGCGUAGCAACUGGCGUUACCUUGACGGUACCUUAUUAGAAAGCCACGGCUAACUACGUGCCAGCAGCCGC